UCAUACUCAUCCAUGUAGUCAAAAAAUAUAUAUUCAACCUUGUUUUCUGUUUUGGCAGGCGGUCUUGUAGCCUUGAAGCAGUUCCAUGCGCAAGAUGAUCGCCGGCUCAACACCUUCUGCUUGCAAACUGACCAGUUGCCAGUUUCGAUCGGGAAGCGCCCUGCACGGUGUACCGCCGUGGCGCUGAGCGUAGCAACGGGGUUGCUUGGUGCUUGUAAUCCCAGGACUGUGGUUAGGAUCAUUGCUUUGGUUUGGGUAAAUGAAGGACCUAGUUCGGUAAAUGAAUUUAUGUUCUUCGCUAUACUGCUUUCAAAUGGGGUCAUUGGUGAUAAUAGAUUUUAUUACAAACGGGGUCGAAGAAAUUUAUAUUUUUGCGAGGGAUUAUGAAGUGUUCUCAUUUUCAUCUUCUUCUGUUUGAUAGACAUUAUUGUUUUGAAAUUUGAAUCUAUAGGUUGGAGUAGCAGAAAUCAAAGUUGCAGUUGAAAAAACCGGUAGUCGUGUUGUCCUGUCUGAAAUAUUUGGUCAUUCCGUCUUAAAGGACUCUUUUAAGCGUGUUUUUUAGGAUGGGGAGUAUUGCUUCCCUGUCUCACCAUUUCAGUAUGAAUCAUAGUUGAUGCCGGGAAUUUUUUGUUGCGAGAUUUUGAAUUGCUAUGCUUUUACUUCUUUAUUCUUUAGCAUAAAAUCUAUAUGUACUGGUGUUUUAGUACCUACUGGUCAAGGGUUUAUUUAUUAUUUUAUUAGAACCUUGAUAUUAUUCCAACAUGUGUUGAUCCUAUUUAUUAUUUUAUUAGAACCUUGAUAUUAUUCCAACAUGUGUUGAUCCUAGGAGAACUAGUUGAAAUCCCUUAAUUAUGUGGCUUAAUUUGGUGUCUCUAUUAUGAGCUAUACUAAAGAAGAGAACUAUAAUUUGAGCUAUACUAAAUGAAGUGUUGGAGUUUUGGACCAUAAAUCGGAUUGAAACCAUUACUAUCACGCACUAAUUCUUCUACUAAGUCUCAAAAUACCGAAGCUAGAUAACUUAAUAGAAUGUAGAUUUCAGUUUGCACUUAUAUUAGUUGACAAAUGCGUCAUUGCUUUCUUCAAUUAGUCAUCUCAGAUAUUAUUUUAAAUUUAAGGAUUAAGUAGCAUAUUGUUGCAAAGAUUAUGACUGUAUACAGUGACAAAACAGGUGGCUAGUAUAAUCUUUCAAAUCCAACACAGGAUAUUGCAAAGAUUAUGACUGUAUACACUCACUUUUUUUUGGUGCAAAGUCAGAUUAUAGUUAUUCAUUAAAGGUGAUUUUUUUUGUUAUUCGUGUCUCUUAAUUUACAUAAUGAUGACAAGGAGUAAGAAGGAAAAUGAUUCUUCUGUUGUCACUGGCAUGAGAUUACUUUUUGAGUGGGAAUAGGUGAAGUGAAACUUUGAAUUUCGGUUAUUGUGUCUUCAAUCCUUAUUUUCCACACACCAAUUCAGCCUGUCAAUGCUCUUGAUGCAGCCAUUUCAAUUCUUGGUACCUUCCUCUAUUCAUAGGUACAUUUUCGUUUCUUUCAUUUCUGUUUGCUUACACAAUAUACUACCUAUCUGUUUGAGACUAAUUGAAAGUAAUGAUGAGGUAUUUUCUUAUCUCUCAGGAUUUAACCUCUUAUACUUAAUGUUCUUCGUUACGAACUUCUUAUGUCAAAAGUGAAUUUCAUUCAUGACUCAGAAUAUACACAAGUACUAACUGUUACUAUUUUCCAGUAUUUUAUACCCCGACAUGUGAUUUGGAUGAAAGACCAAUUUUUGUUUAUUUAUAUUAUAUUAUUCCUUGAUGAAAGUCUUUUCAAAUUAAGAAUAUUAAAUUACAUAUUUGCGCUACAGAUAAUAAGUUUGUGUUGAUUAUUUAA